ensembl:snRNA U6 U6 spliceosomal RNA
GUGCCUACUUCGGCAGCCCAUAUACUAAAAUCGGGAUGAUACAGAGAAGAUUAGCAUCAUCCCUGCACAAGGAUGACAUGCAAAUUCAAAAAUGCUUCCAUAUUAAA